UUCCGUGGUUUCUCGCGGGACCUAGGCGGCCGGAUAUGGAUGGCGUGCCACAGGAAGGCAGGAUCCUGAGUCAGAUAAUUGUAGUGACACAUCAAGGAAACAUCUCUUUGCAACUGGUGGAGGCCAUUACAGAAAACCACAACCAAUCAAAAUGCAGAAUAAUGAGGCCCAGUCUCAAUGGAUACAUCUAUAAUACAACUCCAUCACCUAAGACUCAGGAAGCAUUGUGGAAGAGUGGGUGGAAAGAUUGUAGAGCUAACGUGAAACGGGGAAAUCUCAGGAGGCCUCAGCCCUAGAGAAAGAACUACAGCAAGAAGCCAGCCACGGUGCUGAUAAAGGAAGGACUUAAAGCUAUGGAGUGGAAGAGAAAUUGGAUCCUGAAGCUCUUCCAGAAUGGCAUCCUGGAGACCACUCUGGGAACCAAUCGGACUCAGCUUUGUCAAAGCGGUUAUACUCAUUUUCCCUUCCACUGGUCAGAUAUAAGAAUUAAUUCUUCACCGGUGUGAUGCUGCACGCCUUUAAUCCCAGCACUAGGAAAGCA